AUACGGAGGAUGCGAGCGUUAUCCGGAUUUAUUGGGUUUAAAGGGUGCGUAGGCGGGCUGUUAAGCGUGAGGUGAAAGCUCGGGGCUCAACCCCGGAACUGCCUCGCGAACUGGCGGUCUUGAAUGUCCGUGCCGUGGGAGGAAUGUGUGGUGUAGCGGUGAAAUGCAUAGAGAUCACACAGAACACCGAUUGCGAAGGCAUAUCACGAACGGAUGAUUGACGCUGAGGCACGAAAGCGUGGGGAUCAAACAGGAUUAGAUACCCUGGUAGUCCACGCAGUAAACGAUGAUAACUCGCUGUCGGCGAUACAUAGUCGGUGGCCAAGCGAAAGCGAUAAGUUAUCCACCUGGGGAGUACGACCGCAAGGUUGAAACUCAAAUGAAUUGACGGGG
rnacentral:rRNA from 1 species